rnacentral:tRNA from 1 species
AUUUAAGUAGUUUAAAUUUUAAAAUUAUGAUUUGUGGUAUCAUAGAUAUAAUAUCUUAUCUUAAAUU